AAUGAGCGCUGGCGGCAGGCCUAACACAUGCAAGUCGAACGGAUCCUUCGGGAUUAGUGGCGGACGGGUGAGUAACGCGUGGGAACAUACCCAAAGGUACGGAAUAGCCUCGGGAAACUGGGAGUAAUACCGUAUGUGCUCGAAAGAGGAAAGAUUUAUCGCCUUUGGAUUGGCCCGCGUUGGAUUAGGUAGUUGGUGGGGUAAUGGCCCACCAAGCCGACGAUCCAUAGCUGGUUUGAGUGGAUGAUCAGCCACACUGGGACUGAGACACGGCCCAGACUCCUACGGGAGGCAGCAGUGGGGAAUCUUAGACAAUGGGGGAAACCCUGAUCUAGCCAUGCCGCGUGAUCGAUGAAGGCCUUAGGGUUGUAAAGAUCUUUCAGGUGGGAAGAUAAUGACUGUACCACCAGAAGAAGCCCCGGCUAACUCCGUGCCAGCAGCCGCAGUAA
rnacentral:rRNA from 1 species